GGAAUUGUGGCUCAGUGGCAGAGCGCUUGCCUCUCAAGUAUGAGGCACUGGGUUCGAUCCUCAGCACCA
rnacentral:tRNA from 1 species